rnacentral:lncRNA from 1 species
AAAAUCGUAUUUCAUAUUACCUAAAUUAAUUUUUCAAAAUUUCCUACUUCAAAAAACCAUACCAUGCUUCAUUCUAUCAAGUUAUACCAUGGUAUAAUAAUUUGUACCAUGGUAUAGGAAUUCGUACCAUGGUAUAGGAAUUUGUACCAUACCAUCAUACCAUACCAUGGUACCAUUCAUGCAUACCAUGGUAUGAUGGUAUUCGUACCAUACCAUCAUACCAUAACACAUACCAUACCAUCAUACCAUACCAUGUUUUACAGUAUGCC